CGUUUCAGCACAGCAUUGAAUUACAUUGUUCGUGUUGGCUAUGUAUUCCAUCUGAUUCUUGUUUUCCCUGUGAUCCAUUUCUCCCUGAGGCAGACUGUGGAUGCUUUGUUGUUUGAAGGAUCUGCUCCACUCACAGAAAGUAGGAAGAGGUGUCUGGCUUUGACUGCUGUUCUCCUGGCACUCUUAUAUUUUGGGUCGACUAUGAUUCCCAACAUUUGGACUGCUUUCAAAUUCACAGGGGCCACAACUGCAGUUUCUUUAGGAUAUACAUUUCCAUCUCUUAUUGCUCUACGGCUGGGCAAACAAGGAAGUGGUUUGAGUGUGAGAGAGAAGAUUUUGUCUUGGUUCAUGUUGAUAUUGGCGAUUGUAGUUAGCAUUGUUGGAGUGGGUGGCAAUAUUUAUAGUAUGAGUACUGAGAGUGAUUGAAGCUCAUUCUUUUUCAUACAGUGGAAAGGCCUGUUGCAUUGGAUCAGCUACUCCAAGUCAAACUGUCAGGUUCUAGAUGGAAAGUCUUGUGAUAUAGUUCCACUCAAAUCAUUCAAGCUUUACCAGUCCAUGUAGAAUAUCAAGAGAUUGCCAUAGCUGUUGGAGAUUGAUAGAAUGGUG
rnacentral:misc_RNA from 1 species